rnacentral:rRNA from 1 species
UACACUCCUGCGGGAGGCAGCAGUGGGGAAUUUUGGACAAUGGGCGAAAGCCUGAUCCAGCAAUGCCGCGUGAGUGAAGAAGGCCUUCGGGUUGUAAAGCUCUUUUGUCAGGGAAGAAACGGUGAAAGCUAAUAUCUUUUGCUAAUGACGGUACCUGAAGAAUAAGCACCGGCUAACUACGUGCCAGCAGCCGCGGUAAUACGUAGGGUGCAAGCGUUAAUCGGAAUUACUGGGCGUAAAGCGUGCGCAGGCGGUUUUGUAAGUCUGAUGUGAAAUCCCCGGGCUCAACCUGGGAAUUGCAUUGGAGACUGCAAGGCUAGAAUCUGGCAGAGGGGGGUAGAAUUCCACGUGUAGCAGUGAAAUGCGUAGAUAUGUGGAGGAACACCGAUGGCGAAGGCAGCCCCCUGGGUCAAGAUUGACGCUCAUGCACGAAAGCGUGGGGAGCAAACAGGAUUAGAAACCCCUGUAGUCCC